UUCGUUCGAUUCACUAAAAGGUGCGCACGAUUUACUAUUUAGUUCCCUUGAUUCACUAAAACGUGCGCACGAUUUACUAUUUCCUUCCCUUGAUUCGCUAAAACGUGCACACGAUUUACUAUUUCGAUCCUUCGAUUCGCUAAAAGGUGCACACAAUUUACUAUUUCAUUCAUUCGAUUCACUAAAAGGUGCGCACGAUUAACUAUUUCCUUCCCUGGAUUCGCUAAAACGUGCACACGAUUUAUUAUUUCGAUCCUUCGAUUCGCUAAAAGGUGCGCACGAUUUACUAUUUCGUUCGUUCGAUUAGCUAAAAGGUGCACACAAUUUACUAUUUCAUUCAUUCGAUUCACUAAAAGGUGCGCACGAUUAACUAUUUCCUUCCCUGGAUUCGCUAAAACGUGCACACGAUUUAUUAUUUCGAUCCUUCGAUUCGCUAAAAGGUGCGCACGAUUUACUAUUUCGUUCGUUUGAUUAGCUAAAACGUGCACACGAUUUACUAUUUCGUUCCCUCGAUUCGCUAAAACGUGUGCACGAUUUACUAUUUCGUUCCCUCGAUUAGCUAAAACGUGCGCACGAUUUACUAUUUCCUUCCCUGGAUUCGCUAAAACGUGCGCACGAUUUAUUAUUUCGAUCCUUCGAUUCGCUAAAAGGUGCGCACGAUUUACUAUUUCGCUCAUGUGCGGGGCUCUGUGUUGGGUUGCAUAAACUGUUUAGACUAGUCUAAGUUAGUCAUCUCAUUGUUUCCUCAAGACUGGUCAUAACUUUGUCAGUUACAUAAAAAAAGUAUAUUUUACUAAUUUGAAUUGGCAAAGCAAGUAAUACUGAUUAGCCCUAACUAAUUACUAUUUGAUCAGACUAGAUCUUAAAACAGUCUUAACUUGGCCUUUGGAUCUUUUUUGACAGUUUUUGUAAGAUUCUCUCGGUUAAAUUGAUUAUUUUGAGGUUUGCUGUUCUAAAGCUGUAAACCUCAGGCUCCGGGUCCUGUAAUGAUGAGAGUCUACAAAUUAAUUUCAAUAGAGAGGAAACAGGACUGACCUGUCGUUGUCAAAAAAGCAGUACAGAAAGCCACUGAUGAUGAACAUUAUGGGGAGUUGUUGUAAUCUGCAAAUGUAAAUAUAGAUAUGCUCUGAAUAUAAGACUUCAUGUUAAAAAAGACAGAUUCAAAGCAAUAUAUUUACAGUCUGUUGCUAUAGAAACCACACGUCUUUUCUAUAACCUGCAUUUUUACAAUAAUGUUCAAAGGCAAAUGUCAAUAAAAGAUUUAUGUAACAUUA